rnacentral:misc_RNA from 1 species
GGCAAAUUUAAAAUACAAGAUGGCAAUAUUCCCCAUCUAUUUUCCUUGGCCAGCAGCUAUCACUCUCAGUCAUCCUUUCCCAAAAGGAGCACUUAGAUCCUGUAAACUUGUCUCAUUUCCAAAUUUUCACUGCUUUUUUCACACCAAUUCCAGGCCUCAAGGUGCCAUUGCACUGGGGACUACCACUACCUAUGAGGAUUGAUAUCAACAAAGAUGCAUUAUGCAUACACCAAAAGCAAAGCAACAACAAAGCUAAAGAAAUAAACUAGCAUUUGAAUAC